rnacentral:rRNA from 1 species
GAUGAACGCUGGCGGCGUGCCUAAUACAUGCAAGUCGAGCGAAUGGAUUAAGAGCUUGCUCUUAUGAAGUUAGCGGCGGACGGGUGAGUAACACGUGGGUAACCUGCCCAUAAGACUGGGAUAACUCCGGGAAACCGGGGCUAAUACCGGAUAACAUUUUGAACCGCAUGGUUCGAAAUUGAAAGGCGGCUUCGGCUGUCACUUAUGGAUGGACCCGCGUCGCAUUAGCUAGUUGGUGAGGUAACGGCUCACCAAGGCAACGAUGCGUAGCCGAGCUGAGAGGGGGAUCGGCCACACUGGGGCUGGGACACGGCCCAGACUCCUACGGGAGGCAGCAGUAGGGAAUCUUCCGCAAUGGACGAAAGUCUGACGGAGCAACGCCGCGUGAGUGAUGAAGGCUUUCGGGUCGUAAAACUCUGUUGUUAGGGAAGAACAAGUGCUAGUUGAAUAAGCUGACACCUUGACGGUACCUAACCAGAAAGCCACGGCUAACUACGUGCCAGCCGCCGCGGUAA